GAUUCUGGGAAAUGUCGAUCGGCUGUGGGCGGCGCACUGGGUCCGCCCCGCUGUAGCCUCAGGCCUGACGGCGACUCCCAGGCUCAGGGACGAUUCUGGGCAGUGUGGUUCCCAGAGGUCGGCGGCCGUUGCCCGCUCACCAGCGACGCGGGGGGCCUGCGGGGACGGUGAGGCCCUGCUGAGGACUCCGGCCAGUAUGAGUCCCGGGGGCGGCGGCGGGGCUCAGGCCCUGGGUCUGCCCCGCGGUGUGACCCCGGCCGGUGCCUUGGCUUUUCCUGGCCUUCGUGUCCUCCUAUGUAAACGCGGGGUGAUGACGGCGCCGACCUCUUGGCGCUGUUGUGAGAGUGAAGUGGGCGCGUGAUUAGACGCCAGCCACAGUUGUCUUUGGGUUAUGUCGUCAUGAAGCCGGCGCUCUACAGUUGUGUAACCUUGAACAAAUGGGUUCAGUAUCUUGGAAUUUCAGUUUUGUCAUCGUUUAAAAAAUAGAUCUGGAAAAAUGUGAACGCACACCGUGCAUAGUGAUGAAGAUUGAACGAGCUGAUAAAGUUUUUACCAUUGUUUUAUGAGGAUUUUAUUUACAGAGUAAUUGAUUUUCCUCGCAGGUGGCACCUGGUAAAUGGUUAGCCCUUGCGGAGAAACACCCUGUUAGUUCCCAGGGAGAGAUUGGCGCCCUGGAGAGUGAUUACCAGUGUGCCUUUCCAUUAUGGUGUGUCACAGGUGCCGCAAGAUAAGCCUGAUUUUUCAUGACUGCUUUUUCCUGCCCUUCUGUGCCCUCAGGACACUGCCCAUCUCUAAGAUAAGAGCCUGGAAAGAGGACUCUGUUGGCUGUUGGAAAUUGCAGAGUAAUGCCUCAGGUGACAUUUAAUGAUGUGGCUAUAGACUUCUCUCAUGAAGAGUGGGGAUGGCUCAAUUCUGCUCAGAGGGACUUAUACAAGGAUGUGAUGGUCCAGAAUUAUGAGAACCUGGUCUCUGUAGGUAAGGAUAUCACCUCUUCCACUCCAGUAGGGGACACCUUUCUUUUGCCACCCUGAAUUGCUGGAGACCCUCCUAAGUAAAUGGCUGAAUUUCUGUAGCAUGUUCCCAAGGAAAUGUGCAGCUCUCUUGUGCCCUGCCUGAAGCUUAUCUUUCCAUUUCGAUGAAUACCCUUCAUCCCUUCCUGUGGUCCCUCUUGUGAUGGCCUCUCCUAAUAGAGGACCAUGGCUUAAACAAUUUUGUAUUCUUCCUGUAAGCAGGUCUUUCCAUAACUAAGCCAUAUGUGAUCACGUUAUUGGAGGAUGGAAAAGAGCCCUGGAUGAUGGAGAAAAAACUGUCAAAAGGUAUGAUUCCACAUUGGGAAUCAAGAUGGGAAAACAAGGAAUUAUCAACAAAGAAGGAUAUUUAUGAUGAAGAUUCACCCCAAACAGUAAUAAUAGAAAAAGUUGUAAAACAAAGUUAUGAAUUUUCAAAUUCUAAGAAGAAUUUGGAAUAUAUAGAGAAGUUAGAAGGGAAGCAUGGAAGUCAGGUAGACCACUUCAGACCAGCAAUUCUCACCUCUAGAGAAAGCCCCACUGCAGACAGUGUUUACAAAUACAAUAUAUUUAGAAGCACCUUUCAUUCAAAGUCUACUCUUUCUGAACCACAAAAAAUUUCUGCUGAAGGGAAUUCACACAAAUAUGAUAUAUUAAAGAAGAACUUACCAAAAAAGUCAGUUAUAAAACAUGAGAAAGUCAAUGGUGGAAAGAAACUUUUGAAUUCUAAUAAAAGUGGGGCAGCCUUCAGCCAGGGCAAAUCUCUUACCCUUCCCCAGACUUGUAAUAGAGAGAAAAUCUAUACAUGCAGUGAAUGUGGGAAAGCCUUUGGCAAACAGUCAAUCCUCAAUCGCCACUGGAGAAUUCAUACAGGAGAGAAGCCCUAUGAAUGUCGUGAAUGUGGGAAGACUUUUAGCCAUGGCUCAUCCCUUGCACGACAUCUGAUAAGCCAUAGUGGAGAGAAACCUUACAAAUGUAUUGAAUGUGGGAAGGCCUUUAGCCAUGUCUCAUCACUUACUAACCAUCAGAGCACUCACACUGGAGAGAAACCAUAUGAAUGUAUGAACUGUGGAAAGUCUUUUAGUCGUGUGUCCCAUCUUAUUGAACAUCUAAGAAUUCAUACUCAAGAAAAACUCUAUGAGUGUCGUAUAUGUGGAAAGGCCUUCAUUCAUAGGUCAUCUCUCAUUCACCAUCAGAAAAUCCAUACUGGAGAGAAGCCUUAUGAAUGUAGAGAAUGUGGGAAAGCUUUCUGCUGUAGCUCACACCUUACUCGACAUCAAAGAAUUCACACUAUGGAGAAACAAUAUGAAUGCAACAAAUGUCUGAAAGUCUUUAGUAGCCUCUCAUUUCUUGUUCAGCAUCAGAGUAUUCAUACUGAAGAAAAACCCUUUGAAUGUCAGAAAUGCAGGAAAUCCUUCAACCAGCUUGAAUCACUGAAUAUGCAUUUGAGAAAUCACAUUAGAUUGAAACCCUACGAAUGCAGUAUAUGUGGGAAAGCCUUUAGUCAUAGGUCGUCCCUGCUUCAACAUCACAGAAUUCAUACUGGAGAGAAACCUUACGAAUGUAUUAAAUGUGGGAAGACCUUCAGCUGUAGUUCAAACCUUACCGUACAUCAGAGAAUUCACACUGGAGAAAAGCCAUAUAAAUGUAGUGAGUGUGGGAAAGCUUUUAGCAAAGGCUCAAAUCUUACUGCCCAUCAAAGAGUACAUAAUGGAGAGAAACCCAAUAGUGUGGUAAGUGUGGAAAAGCCUUUAGACUAUAUGAAUCACUAUACAUGUGAGAAAUCUUACAGAAGAGAAACUGUAUGAAGCAGUGGUUAUCAUGGUAAAUUUCCUAGAUUCUCCCUUAUUUAACAUUAGAAAAAUUUAUACUGGGGAAAGUCUUAUGAAUGUGGUGAAUAUAGGAAGACCUUUUAGCAAAGAUGCAGGCCAGUUUGUUUAUCAGACUUUAUACUGUAGAGAAAUCAUAUGAAGACCAUAAAUGUGGGAGAGCCUUUGUCAAUAUUAAUCCCUUAAUUGACAUAAGUAUACUCACACUAGGAUAAAACCCUGUACAUGUAGCAAAUGUGGGAAAGACUAUAGACAAUAGGAAUCUUUUACAAACUCCUACAGGAGAGAAGCUGUAUGAAUGUAGAAAAUUUAGAAAUUGAGGGAAGUCUUCAGUUCCAAGUAUAUCCCUUAUUCUACAGCAGAGAACUCAAAAUGGAGAGAAAUCUCAUUUAAGAGAUGUAGUGAAGUGUUCACUAAGAGUGUUUAUCUUGCUACGCAUCAGAAGAUUAAUGGUAGAACAACCUGAAGGAUUUAGGAGUUAUGUGUAAAUCUUUGCAGUCAUGCUAUUUGUAAACUGGAUUCUACAGGAGAGCAAAUAAACAUUAUAAUAAAAUAUGCAUUUCUUAGAGCAGUAGCUUGCAGUUUCAGUUGAGUUCUACUUAGAAAUUCUUUUUAGCUAGUAGGCAUGUGAAGAUAUUUAGUCACCCAGAGGAGCCAGUAAGUGUUAUAAUAUUGAAAAUUAAAGCUGCAAAAGAGAUAAAGUGAUGUUAAUAAAAGUUUUGGCAUCUAAUAAAAUCAUUUUGUAUAUCACAAA
rnacentral:sRNA from 1 species